rnacentral:rRNA from 1 species
AAGUCGUAACAAGGUUUCCGUAGGUGGCAAGUUUGCCUAUCGAAAGCCCUCGCAGCGACUCUAAAUAACUGCCCGAGUCUACCCCUUACCAGGGGCGGGCAACGCUAUCAGUCUGCGCUGGAAGCUCCUCUCGUCAGAGGGCCAACCAGCAGCUUCAGGGAGCCCCUGAAGUCCACAGAUCAAACGAUAGCGGCCACAAUGUGGUUUAGAUAUGACCGGCCCCAACCGCUAAGCGGAUGGAGAAAUUUUUGCGGAACCUGCGGAAGGAUCAUUACUGAGAGAGGGGCUUCGCGCUCCCGGGGGUUCCGGCCCCUACCUCUUCACCCAUUGUUUAUCUACCUUUGUUGCUUUGGCGGGCUUUGGGGUUCGCCUCACGCCGGACUUCGGACUGGUGAGCGCCCGCCAGAGGCCCAUUAAAUUCCGUUUAUGCAGUAUUGUCAGAACAAAAAUUACUAUAGUAAAAACUUUCAACAACGGAUCUCUUGGUUCCAGCAUCGAUGAAGAACGCAGCGAAAUGCGAUAAGUAAUGUGAAUUGCAGAAUUCAGUGAAUCAUCGAAUCUUUGAACGCACAUUGCGCCCCUCGGUAUUCCGGGGGGCAUGCCUGUUCGAGCGUCAUUACACCCCUCAAGCGUAGCUUGGUAUUGGGUCCUCGCCCCCCGGGGCGUGCCCGAAAAGCAGUGGCGGCUCGGUGUGACUUUAAGCGUAGUAAAUUUUCAUCCCGCUUUGAAAGUUCGCCCCGUGGCUUGCCAGACAACCCCAUUUAUUUCAAUGAUUGACCUCGGAUC